UGCCUCGUCGGGGGCGCGCUUUAGGGGCGGAGGCAGGUAGCGCUGGGAAGUGCGUCAUCGGGGAACCGGAAACGGCGGAGGAGGACGCCAACGGGGGGAGGGGCGAAGCAAGUGGUGUUGAGAACGAGGAAUUACUGCAUGUGUACCAUAUGAUUUGCAGCAGUUAUUCUUAAAAAGCAUUCCUUGAAUUGGUACAGCCGCUAGUGAUGGGAUGACAGAGGUCACCUGCAAACAGCAAAAAACCAAAUGGAAGAAAUGAAUCCAGUAAAUGAUUUUGUCACUAUCUAAUGAAGAGGAGCAAAGCACCAUUUUCAGGAUGCCCAUCAGCUUGCCAGUACACUCGCCUGUCUCCACCAACCCGUCCAGCAUGGUGAAGCAGAAGAGCAUGAGGUACUACAGAAGUAGGUGCUUUGCGAUGAUCUGCAGGGAAAAGCAAUACGGCAAAUGUGAAACCAAUUCCCUUGUCUUGGACUCCCAACUAACACUGUACUAAAUAGGGACUAAGGUUUGGUUGUAUUUGUCCAGCACUAAGUUAUCUGCUCAAGGAAAACUGGAGCCUAUAACUGAAAUUUUAAUUUGGCAGCUCCUGCUUUUCUGUCUCAGUGACUGCAUUGUUGGGGAAACCCAUGAAGUUGGGGACACAAAUUCCUUGUCAAAUGAAGGGAUGAUCCCUCCCCCUCCCUGCAUCUCUCUCCAGCUACAGUCUCUCUUACUCACUGCCGGGGGAGGAGGUGUCAUUGCAGCUGAGAUAAUCCUGCUCCCCACUCACCAUAUACAAUCCAACAGCACUAAGGAAUCACCCUCAGGACCAGAGCUUUCCACAUCCCAUCCCAAGUUAGCUGAAUCCAGCUUUAGCUGGCCAGGUGGGAAUUCCCAGCCCACGCGAGCUCUCAGCUGGUAUACAGCCAGUGCCCCUAGUUCCUGUGCCAUCUGCCCACAUCGGUGUUGAGAAUGUGUCAGGGGUGGGGUUAAAGCACAGCCAGACUCUGCUAAUCCUCGACUUGCGCAGGCUCCCUGGAGACCAUCACAUGCUGGUGUUAAGAGUAGCCCCUGGGUUGUUCUAACUUACGGCAGGGGAGGGGCUGACAUAGAUCAGUGCACAGAAUCAGGAGCUGUACUGUAGAUGCCCCUCCCCGCUGUCCUGGGCCAGGCAGAUCGUGAUGUAGGAGAGAAUGUCCCCCUCACUUUUUCUCUAUAAAGAUACUUUUCUGCCCAGUGUCUCACUCAAACAAUGCCCCAAAAUACCCCCCAGCGUUAACAAUGGAAAUGGAGCCAAGGCUGUGGAGAGUGCAGGGCAAUAGUAGCACAAGGGGAUGGACCCAUAGUGAUGCUGAAAAGCCUGUGUGUCUUUGGAACUGAGGGAUAGCAGCUGUGUAGUAAAGAGCAGGGACCAAGAGCUGAGCCCUCUGGGAUUCUGUAGCAAAGAUGCUCCUAGCACAGAGAAGGUGCCUCCCCAAGGGAUGGCAGAGGCAGAUCCAUGAGCAGAGAAAGGCUAGGAGUAAGUCAGUGUUAAAGCAAAGACAUGAAUGGAGCUGGCAGGCAGGAGUGACACAAGGAAGCAGAUGGGAGGAGCUGUUGGCAGUGGCAGGAAUACAUGAAACAAGGGUAGGGAGUCAGGACCAAGCACUGCAAGGUGAAGGGAUCAAGAGAGGAGGGAGAUUUAAGAGACUAGGUGGUUCCUGGUGAAGGGCAGAGGCCAGUGUUGGAUCGUAUUAAAGAAGUUCUGUAUUAAAAUCACAAAUGAGUUUGAUUCCCCAUAGUUUAAAUUCCAGGGUAUUACUAAUUAAGAGGUCUCUUGGUUUUUGGUACUGUUUCUCUCCCUCUAUGUGUGAAACUUGCAAGCUGCUAAUUGCAUUAGUACAUUCUAAGACAGAGUCUGUUCUUCAAAGCUGUCAUAAAUAUAAAGGGAAGGGUAAACCCCUUUGAAAUCCCUCCUGGCCAGGGGAAAGCUCCUCUCACCUGUAAAGGGUUAAGAAGCUAAAGGUAACCUCGCUGGCACCUGACCAAAAUGACCAAUGAGGAGACAAGAUACUUUCAAAAGCUGGGAGGAGGGAGAGAAACAAAGGGUCUGUAUGCCUGUCUAUAUUCUGUCUUUGCCGGGGAUAGACCAGGAAUGGAGUCUUAGAACUUUUAGUAAGUAAUCUAGCUAGGUACGUGUUAGAUUAUGAUUUCUUUAAAUGGCUGAGAAAAGAACUGUGCUGAAUAGAAUAACUAUUUCUGUCUGUGUAUCUUUUUUGUAACUUAAGGUUUUGCCUAGAGGGGUUCUCUAUGUUUUGAAUCUAAUUACCCUGUAAGGUAUCUACCAUCCUGAUUUUACAGGGGGGAUUUCUUUAUUUCUAUUUACUUCUAUUUUUAUUAAAAGUCUUCUUGUAAGAAAACUGAAUGCUUUUUCAUUGUUCUCAGAUCCAAGGGUUUGGGUCUGUGGUCACCUAUGCAAAUUGGUCAGGCUUUUUAUCCAACAUUUCCCAGGAAAGGGGGGGUGCAAGUGUUGGGAGGAUUGUUCAUUGUUCUUAAGAUCCAAGGGUCUGGGUCUGUAGUCACCUAGGCAAAUUGGUGAGGUUUUUUACCAAACCUUGUCCAGGAAGUGGGGUGCAAGGUUUUGGGAAGUAUUCUGGGGGGAAAGACAUGUCCAAACAGCUCUUCCCCAAUAACCAGUAUUAGUUUGGUGGUGGUAGCGGCCAAUCCAAGGACAAAGGGUGGAAUAUUUUGUACCUUGGGGAAGUUUUGACCGAAGCUGGUAAAGAGAAGCUUAGGAGGUUUUUCAUGCAGGUCCCCACAUCUGUACCCUAGAGUUCAGAGUGGGGGAGGAACCUUGACAAAAGCAAUACUCUGUAACAACAGAAACAGCACCCAGAGACUCCCCGCCCUUUUGUUGUAUUAACAAUUGUGAUUAAAAUAGAGAUAGAGGAUGUAUGUGGAUGGAUGCUUGGUGUGGAUAAUAACUGAAUGAUCAGGGAGGUGCCAGCCUAAGAAUCCAGUGUCCAUCAGCUGAAGAAGGCGUCAAGUGGAAAUAACCAGAGGACCUCCGGAGGGCAGACUGGAAUCCACCCAACAGCCUCAAGAAUGGGAGAACCAAAGAACAAGAUAACAUCUAGCAGCACGGAGCCAUCAGGAAUGUGCUAUCUGCUGAUUGAUUCAGCAACAGCAUGAUGAAGCAAUUCCCAUAGACUGGCAUAGGAAGAAAUUCCUAUAAAAAUAGACUCUAAAAAGUGAGAAUUUUGGGGUCUGAUUCUGCAAACCAACUUCCAGGAGCAUCAGAUGAGCAUCUGACAAGGCCCUGCUCCCUCCUCAUGUCCAGGCCACCUGGCCAGUGGCUUGGCAUGAGCAACUCUAAGGCUGGUAACUAUGAUAACAACCUUGCAGAACCUGUGUGUGUGUGUAUGAAUGAAUGUGUGAAUAAAUAUGAGAUUGAAUGGAAUGUUAUAGCUAUAACUAACUGCUUUCUAUGAUUCUUUCUGUA